CACUAAAAUGCCAGGAAGCAGAGGCUUCCUGGAAGAACUGCUGAAAGAACCGUGCAAGAGGAGGUGGGAUCACGGGGACCUGGAGGAAGGGCUGGAGUGCAGAGCCCAGGGUCCCUCUUUGCUGCUCUGCGUGCCCAGGCAUUGCCUGCUCUCUUCCCCAGAGCAGCUGCCACAGAGGAAGGCCAUUGUUGAACUGCCCCAAGCCCACUUCUGACAUAGGGAUAGCAGGAUUGUUUUGACCUCAGAGAUGGACCAAGGGUGCGCACUUCUGACGAAUGCUUGGGCACUCCUUACGCUGCUGGUCCAAGGGCCACACUUGGAGAAGAAAGAGAUGCUACGGGACAAGCUGGGCCAGCUCCGCCCUUCGCCUGUCGCUACAGAUUAUUAUGCGCAUGCUGCCUUUCCAGAGCGGUGGCCAUGCAACUGGAUUCGACAGACAGCUUACAGGAACCAGAGGCCCAGAGGAAACUGUUAAAUGACACCAUGAGGAAGCACUUAGAAAAAUCUGGGGUGUGGAAAACUCUACAGGACAAGCGACCAAUUUCUUCAACAAAUAAGCCAUCGAACGCAAGACAGAUGGGACCUAUGGAUUAGAAGACACUAAAGAACACAUGGAUCGAAUGCCAUGUAUGGACCCUCUUUGGAUCCUGAUUCCAACCAACCAUCCACAGCAAACAUUUAUAAGACAAGUUGGGGAAUUUGAACGCUGCCUGGCAUUUGAUGCUAUUUGGGAAUCAUUGCUGGUGUUUUAAGUGUGAUAAUAGUAGGUUAAAAAAAAGAAGUUUUGUCGGUUAGUAAGACCUACACUAAUAUUUAUGGAUGACAUGAGAUGAAAUCUGGGCCUUGUGAGUGCUGCAGGGGAGGCGGAAAAGGGUUGAGCACAUGAAACAAGAUUUUGGAAGUUGGGCGUUUGCUAUACUAUCUUCUGAUCUUUUGUACUCAUUUGAAAAGUUCCGUAAUUAAAAAAAAAAAGCAAAUUCUCUGGGUCAAAGAGGAGAGAAAGAGAGGGUCAGAGCCAGCUGAAGGGACGGUGGGAGCUUAAGGGAAGAAGAGAGACACAGGGAAUCAGAGAACAUGGGUGGUUGGGCAGGCUCUGCAGGAGCCAGGGCGAGAUCUGAGACUGUCCCUCAGGCCACAUGGCAGAGGCCGUGGCACCUGGGCCUGCCUGGCCCGUCCCGUAGACUCCAGUCUGUCUGGUAACCUCACUUAGGGUUAUUUGAUACAAAGCGGCUUCAAGGAGGCCAACAUCUCUACAAAUAUUGGCAGGUACACAAAACAUCAGAAAAAGGCGUCCGAUUUUAGAAUUUGGUAGACUAAGUCUAUGCUUAAAAAUUAAAAAAUUAAAAUAGAAGAAAGCAUUUAUGGUAGAUUGUUAAGCCACCAAGUAAAAACGGACUUAAUAUAUCAAUAUAAAAAGGCAGAUAUUUAUGGACAGAAAGAAACCUGUAAAAAUGUAGUUACGUAAAAAAUGUCUUAAAUAAUACAGCAGCAAAUACCUAAAAUUUAGGCAAAAAUACCUAAAACUCCCAGAUAUUGUUUUGUAAGCAGGAUAUGUGUGUGUUGAUUUCUUUAUUAUGAUUAUUUUUAAUGAGAACGCAUUUUGCAUCAGGACUAUUUGCAAGCAAGGUGAAGAAAACCUGUUCCUACUUUUGACGAGAGAUUAGUGUUGGACCAGCUCACAGGGAAACUUGAGUCCAGAGUUUAAGUGAGUUACUUUCCGUUCCCCACCCCACACACCCUGCCGGAGCCAGGCAGAGGUGAGUGGCUAAUUUCACCGGUGAUGUUAACACCCCUGGAAUGGAUGUAUGGGGCGAUGGGGCUAAAAAUACCCCAGUGCAGGGCGAGCUUCUCUAGAAAGCCCAGAGCUGUCUACUUUCUCCCAAGGGCUGGGGAGCUCACUCCCCAAUGGUCAGGGCUGUGACGUGGGGCCGUGUCCUGGCCAAAAGCUGCUUCUUGGACGCUUGCACGUCCCAAGGUCCCUUUAAAGGCAUUGUCUUUGCUACAGAAGGUCACCUUGGGACCCAGACGGGAGUCGGGCGGUGCUCAUAACCACGGAUGGGCCACCCCACUCGAGUUACUUUAAUCCCAUCGAAGUUCUGGGCUUCCUGUUGGGAAAUGGGGGAUGUCAAGACCCCCUUCCCACAGCUCAGCUCACCAGAAGAGGCUCAUUCACAUCUUCCUGUCCAGUUUUAGAGUGCAGAGCAAGAAACAGAUACCCACAGUGGGACCGGGACUGGCUGGGACGUCUUGCAAGGCUGGGACAGAGCCAGACGGCACACUCUCAGAUGAGUGGCUUUGCAGGUCACCAUCUCCCCUCCAGGUUUGCUGUCUGACAUUCAGAUCCCAACUCCCCAAGACUGGCCCUGCUUCCAGAAGCUUCCAGAGGAUUCCAGAGGCUAGAAUUCAGGGAGCUGUGAGGUUUUCACAUGCACACGACUUCCUGGGCAUCCACUAGUCACUGCUUUGUUGGCAUGAACGGUGCCGUCUGGCCUGCAGAGGGCUUCUCGUCACUUUGUGGGGCACUGGUUCUCAGUGCUGCCCUUUGAGGAAAGCUCAGCAGCCUGUCGCCCUCCAGUUUCCGGCAGAGGGAGCAGGAUCUUGGGGACUUAUGGAAGUCACAUGGCGAGUCCAGCAGAUAACAGCUGUGCCAGACCCUGAGUGCAGAAGUCCCAGGCCAUGGGCUCUUCCUGCUCUUUCCUGGCCUGUGUGGAGGGACCAGCACACACCUUUGCUUGUUAUAUUUCUGGCUUUCAGCUCCAGAUGCUGAAUUUGCCAGCGCAGCCCAUGAUCAGAUGUGGCCCAAAGUCUGCAUGAGGUUUUUGCUCUCCGAUCAUCUGGAUUGACUAGCAGUGUUUAAAAAAUCAGGAGGUUUUUGUGGAGAAGUGGCAUUCUGACUCUUUUUAAUGAAAGGUUGGGCACCACUGGGUGGCGUUCCUGCAUGGGGCACGGGAGCUGGGGCCGAGUCGGGCUGCCCCUUUGAGCAGGGCAUGCACCCUCCUGCUGGCCACCCGCUAACUUCACUCAUUUCAUUUACAUAACCUGCCAGGACCGAAGACUUCGGUGUCUGAGAGCCCACUCUAAGCAGGGCAUGGCUUAGGCUGUGUUGGAGAGGGAUAGCUGAUUGCAACAAAGCUAACCUGUCUCAAUGACUCCCCUAAAGCCGGUUGGGGGGCCGGACCCCGAACACCAGCCCUGCCCCCUUCCUCGCCACCGGACACCCUUGAAUACUUGGAGAAGCGGGUGCCACGUUGCGUCGAAUUAAGCCUUAAAGAGGACAUGAAACAGGAAGGCAGGAAAUGUUCCGCCAGCUUUAAUACUAAAUAAGGCUUGUCUUCAGAAACACUUACCUGCUGUGAGCAGAUAUGUCUUCAUGAAAUAUGAAAUCCACCCAAAUUUAUUAAAACCGCCUGCAUAGUGUUGGGAACUCACACUGCGCAGCCCUCCGUUAGAGCCUCAUUAUUAUUAUGGCAUUAUUUAUUUAUAUCCUAGCCUAAGACAGACAUGAUGUAAUCCAGUAAUUAAGAUUGUUAUGAUCGAAUAUUUAUUAAGCACCUCCAAUAAGCCAGUCACUGAUUCACAUAAAAUGAGCCUUUACCCUCUAGAGUUCCCAUCUUGCGGCCAUGGGGGAGCAAGUGGCUCUCAUCGGGGAGCAGGGGGGAGUUUAAUGGGUUUUGUCUUCCCUGAGCAAGUCUGAGAAAUGAUGCUGAUCAGAAAUUGGACCCAGUUUAGUCUCGCUGUUCAAUCUGAGUGAAAUGAAAAUAAUCCAUCGCUGGUUUAGAAAAGGGAUGGGUGUGCAGAGGGGCUGUCCCUCCAAAAUGCUCCAGUGGGGGCCUCCCAGAACCCAGCAGUGGGCAGAGCCCUGGCCUCCUCUGGCUCUGCCAACCCCCUGGGCAGGGGAAGAGGCCUGGGCAGCUCGCUCUGCUUUUUAAACUCAACCCCGGGCCUGGAUUGGGUUGCUCUUCUGUAUUUCUUGCAAAAUUCGCCCUGCUCUGACAUAUCACCAACCAACGUUUGCUGGAUCCCUACUGUGGCAGGGGCUGGAGCUGCGGUGGGGAGCUAUACACAGCCUCAGGCCUCCCAGAAACCAGUUCCCAAUGCAAGGCCCCACGCGGAGCUCGCUCCAUCUGCCCCCUCUCCAACUCUUCCGAAGCAGCUUGAAGGCUCUGUGACUUCUCCUUGCUCUGGUCCCCCUUUCUGUCUUCUUCCUUCUUCCCCCACCCUGGGCCACCUCUCCCUGGAAGGACAUGCUGGGUGGUGAGCUUACCGGGUCGGGCCCUGACACUGGCUCCCUCUGCUUUUCCUUGCCCCAGGGCCUGGCACCUGUUUGUACAGUGAAAGAGUAAACAAAUGAGUAACAGCUCGCAGGGGUCAAUGGAUGAAACACAAUCGUAAACGUGUACCUGGCAUCGAUACAUGGAUUUCUGCGACCAGGUUUCUUCACUUACAGUUUUUCCCUAGCAGAUUAUUUCUGUGUUUGGGAAGAGACCGGAAUGUCCCCUGGGCUCUCCUGUGCUGGGUAGGAGAUGUUUUGAAAACUGACACGUGCACGUCACGCUUCCCUGAGCACUAGCCCUGACGCCUACAUUUGGUUCAGAAAA